GACGAACGCUGGCGGCGUGCUUAACACAUGCAAGUCGAACGAAGUGGCGAACGGGUGAGUAACGCGUAAUCAACCUGCCCUUCAGUGGGGGACAACAGUUGGAAACGACUGCUAAUACCGCAUACUGAAGGAGGGGAUUGCGUCUGAUUCGCUAGUUGGAGGGGUAACGGCGAAACAAGGCGAUGAUCAGUAGCCGGUCUGAGAGGAUGGACGGCCACAUUGGGAACGAGGAACGGCCCAGACUCCUACGGGAGGCAGCAGUGGGGAAUCUUGCGCAAUGGACGAAAGUCUGACGGAGCAACGCCGCGUGAGUGAUGACGGCCUUCGGGUUGUAAAGCUCUGUUAAUCGGGACGCGGUACCGGAAUAGAAAGCCACGGCUAACUACGUGCCAGCAGCCGCGGUAAUAC
rnacentral:rRNA from 1 species